rnacentral:rRNA from 1 species
GGGAAUUUUCCGCAAUGGGCGAAAGCCUGACGGAGCAAUGUCGCGUGGAGGAAGAAGGCUCGUGGGUUGUAAACUCCUUUUGUCAAAGAAGAAUAAAUGACGGUAUUUGACGAAUAAGCAUCGGCUAAUUCUGUGCCAGCAGCCGCGGUAAUACAGGAGAUGCAAGUGUUAUCCGGAAUUAUUGGGCGUAAAGGGUCUUGAGGUGGCUAGCCAAGUCUAUUGUGAAAGAUCAGGGCUUAACCCUGAACAUGCGAUAGAAACUAGCAAGCUUGAGUACAGUAGAGGUGGAGGGAAUUCUCGGUGGAGCGGUGAAAUGCAUAGAUAUCGGGAAGAACACCAAAGGCGAAGGCACUCCGCUGGGCUGAAACUGACACUGACAGACGAAAGCUAGGGGAGCGAAAGGGAUUAGAUACCCCUGUAGUCA